UCGUUAGUGGAGAAAAGGUGACUGGAGUCUGGCUGCCCUGACGCCCAGGCCCCUGCUCUGCCAGGCUGGCAAGGUGCUGCUGCCGCCAGGGCAAGUGCCGGUCUUCCAUCUGGUGACGAACCCGGCAGGCACGGCCGGCGUGUGAAGGCGCGCUGUCAGAACAGGAGGGUUUUCUCUGAUGACCUUAGAGAAAGGCAAUCAGCCAGGAGGAAAAAAGUCUUCCCACCAAACUCCAUUUGAGAGAAUAAAGAUCUCCUUUAAGAUGACGAGAAAGGACAGAAUACUUAAAAAUAAUAUUUUAUUUAAAAUAAGGCUGGGUUAAAAAUGUGAAAAGCUAGAAAGGCUGUUCAAAACCAGCAGGGCAGUUAGUUGUUGAAGUAGUCAGUGAUGCCAAUGUGAUAUUUUAAAAUGCUCCUGGAUCAUUUAAAAUGCCCCAAUAAGCUAUUAGAAUAAACUUAGGUUGCAUCUGGCCUGAAUCAGAGUUUCCUCCUGAGAUCAGUAAGCUGCAUCUCUCUAACCAAAAAGCAGAAAGCCGUAGGAGUUUUCAGGAAAUGACAGUUCAAUGGGUUAACGCUAAGUAACCCAUCUCCUCUCAACCAAAGAGCUCCUUGUAUUUAGAAAAAAAAAAAAAAAGAACCCUCCCCUACCGUAAAGCCAAGCUCUUGAGACACAGUGCUUCGCGUUUGUAUCCUUUCAAAAUGACAUCUAAACUUUUCUUGUCUGUAUGGAGGACUCUUGUGCCCCACUUGACAGCCAGUUUCUCGUCUUCUGAAAUGGAGCACAUCCGCCCACCUCUCUGCUGGCCCCGAGAGGACACCAGGGGUCGGGGCGAAGCCGAGCCCCGUGUCCUGGGCCGCCUCAAACCUUUAAAGACUGGGGCAGCGGGCGUGGCUGCUUACAAGGUAAAUCCCUACCACAGCAGGCGGACGCCAGGAUUUUAUUUUUCUCGUUUUCGGGGUGGAGGGGCCCAGCUGCAGGAUGCCUUUCUUGGAAGUUCAUCUACCAAAGAACUGAAAGGAUGGCGCGCGAUAUUCACCUCUGGAUGCAGCUGUGCACCUGCUGUGCAAAGGAAAAAGAAAGAUGUGAACGUUUGACGCUGAACAAGAAGACACAAUGGACAUCUCUGUGCCGUAGGCAGCAACCUGUCUGUGGCUCUGUUAGGACCAUCUGUGCUCCGUGGCAGGGCUGUCGACAGGCGGAGGGGGAGCCUCAGUGUCCGGUGGGCAGCUGAACACUGGGUGGCUGGAAAUGUUCGUGCUGUGUCACGCCCCAGGCUUCUGUGUGAAACACUGAGAGGACGAGAGCUCCUGGCACGUCAGAGACUGGACACUUCAGAGGGUCAAGGGCAGAUUUUCAAGAGGAAAACAAAGCUUUGAAUGCCAGAGGAAUCGCAAGGAGCCCCCUGAAAACAAGUUCCAGAUACAUAUAUCUUAAGACGGACAGAUUGACUGUCUCUACCUAAGGGAGCCGUCGCACAGCCCACUUUUGUUUUGGAGUCAGCCUUCAGAGAUAUUGCUCAGGUGGCGUUGCCUCGGGAUCUGCUGAGCGGUGCCAAGUUUCCAGAGAAUUUUGUGUGUGUGAGUGUGUGAGUGGAGGGUGUCACCAUGAGUGUAACAGCACAAGUAUCUUUUAUUACCAAUAGCAAUCAGGAAAUGUCCCAGCUUGGGUCCCCUGGGAGGCCUGCUCUGAGGUGCUGAUGAUCCUGCAGGAUGCUUGUUGGGGGUACGCGAGGAUCCACACCAGGGAAAGGGAGAGGAUGUUAGCCAAACUGCCCCCAGGAGCUCGGAGCAGGACGGCCCUUCACUGGGAGGACGGGGUGGGCCAGACCGUUAGUUACACCGUCAUAGCGUCAGUCAUGGGACCGCAUUUGGGACAGAGGUGUCACCUUGGGCAAGGAGAGGGCUGACAGCUGAGGGUGGUCCGGAAGCUGGAAGAAUGAGGCCUUCAUUUCCAAAGGGGAAUCUGAGCUUCACGCCACUGCGUCUCUCAC
rnacentral:lncRNA from 1 species